rnacentral:rRNA from 1 species
UUCUGGCUCAGGAUGAACGCUAGCUACAGGCUUAACACAUGCAAGUCGAGGGGCAGCAUGUUGGUUGCUUGCAACCGAUGAUGGCGACCGGCGCACGGGUGAGUAACGCGUAUCCAACCUUCCCUAUAGUAGAGGAUAGCCCGGCGAAAGUCGGAUUAAUACUCUAUGUUGUUCAAUGCAGACAUCUAAGUUGAAUCAAAGGUUCACCGCUAUAGGAUGGGGGAUGCGUCUGAUUAGGUAGUCGGCGGGGUAACGGCCCACCGAGCCAUCGAUCAGUAGGGGUUCUGAGAGGAAGGUCCCCCACAUUGGAACUGAGACACGGUCCAAACUCCUACGGGAGGCAGCAGUGAGGAAUAUUGGUCAAUGGGCGAGAGCCUGAACCAGCCAAGUAAGCGUGCAGGAUGACGGCCCUAUGGGUUGUAAACUGCUUUUAUACAGGGAUAAAGUCGGGGACGUGUCCCCGUUUGUAGGUACUGUAUGAAUAAGGACCGGCUAAUUCCGUGCCAGCCGCGGC